UCACCUUCAAGGAUGCAAUUUUAAGAACGUCAAGAAGGCGGCCCGGGAGCUUUGGACUCAGAGAGCCGGGCCUUUUGCGCCGACCCCUCCCGGGGACCGCGCGGGGAUGACGCGGUAGAGAAGCGGAUCUGCGCCACCAGCCUGCGUCUCCAGAGCGGUUACUGUGUGUUGUCCUCCUCUGUUCGUCCUUACCUCUUCGGGAGCGGAGCCGCUGGACGGCACCACAACAUCUGGAACCCGACCAGGGACCUGAAAACCCCGGAGACAAUAUCAGCAAGCU
rnacentral:lncRNA from 1 species